rnacentral:tRNA from 3 species
GCCCAGAUGGCGGAAUUGGUAGACGCGUUGGUCUCAAACACCAAUAACUUCGGUUGUGCCGGUUCGACCCCGGCUCUGGGUA